AGUAGCAAGUUAAUCUGCUGUUUACGUCACAAUGAUGAGCUUCCACUUCAUGGUCCGUGUUUUUGAAACUUUGUGAUAUUUACGAAGUUCUGAGUUUGAACAACAAAUUAAGUUGUAAAUACAGUUUUCAGAAUUUGAAAUAUGCUAAUUUUAUUCUUGAUGCCUUAUUAUUCCAGCCUGCUCAUGCAAAAGAUGACCAACACAGACCCGAGUAAGAUUCUGACUAGUGACAUCCAGAAUGCACUUUGUACGCCAAGAAGAUGAUCAACCACAGUGAUGAAGAAGAAUCCUAUGCAGAACUUGAAGAUAAUGCUCAAGCUGAACCCUUAAUGUCAAGACAGCAAGAAGUCAUGCCAUCCUCAAGCAUGACCCAACUGUAAGAACCUAAAGUUCAAGCUCGAAGCAAAUAUUGUAAACUUGAUGUGACUUUGAAAUCUCCAUAGAUCAAGGACAAGAUGCUGAAACCCAAGAAUUCCGAAAAGGUGGGUGAGCCUGCCAAACCCGAAGGCAUACAUCUACAGACUGGAGUUCAGUGAUAAAUCAAUCUGUUUCAAAUGAGUCUGACCAUUCAUUCAGAAUUUUCUUCACAAGACUUUAUUUCACAAAGAUUUUAAUCUGCUGGCGCUAAGGACACAAGGUAAAAGGAUUAUCAAGCACACAGGUUGAGCAGCAUUUGUAAUGAUUAAAUAAUUUUAUAUUUAGAAAAAGAUGGCUUCUCUGGCAGGCCUGUAGCCCAAAAAUUGUUCAACUCAGUUAAUUUCACUUGGCAUGUAGGUUUGUACUCUAAAAUAAAACUAGUAAUUGCA